CCUACAGGAGGCUGCAGUAGGGAAUCUUCCACAAUGGACGAAAGUCUGAUGGAGCAACGCCGCGUGAGUGAAGAAGGGUUUCGGCUCGUAAAGCUCUGUUGGUAGUGAAGAAAGAUAGAGGUAGUAACUGGCCUUUAUUUGACGGUAAUUACUUAGAAAGUCACGGCUAACUACGUGCAAGCAGCCGCGGUAAUACGUAGGUGGCAAGCGUUGUCCGGAUUUAUUGGGCGUAAAGGGAGUGCAGGCGGUUCAAUAAGUCUGAUGUGAAAGCCUUCGGCUCAACCGGAGAAUUGCAUCAGAAACUGUUGAACUUGAGUGCAGAAGAGGAGAGUGGAACUCAAGGUGUAGCGGUGGAAUGCGUAG
rnacentral:rRNA from 1 species